rnacentral:rRNA from 1 species
CGGAGGGGGCUAGCGUUGUUCGGAAUCAUUGGGCGUAAAGGGCGUGUAGGCGGCUGAUCAAGUCGGAGGUGAAAUCCCUCGGCUCAACUGAGGAAUUGCCUUCGAAACUGUUCGGCUUGAGUCCUGGAGAGGGUAGCGGAAUUCCCGGUGUAGCGGUGAAAUGCGUAGAGACCGGGAAGAACACCAGUGGCGAAGGCGGCUACCUGGACAGGUACUGACGCUAAAGCGCGAAAGCUAGGGGAGCAAACAGGAUUAGAUACCCUGGUAGUCCUAGCUGUAAACGAUGGGCACUUGGUGUUGCGGGUAUCGACCCCUGCAGUGCCGAAGCUAACGCAUUAAGUGCCCCGCCUGGGGAGUACGGUCGCAAGGCUG